CACUCUCUCUCUCUCUCUGUAUCUCUAUCCCUCUCCUGUAUUCUAUCAUUUCCUUCCCUCAGUUUCCCCAGUUGUUCCUCUGGUUGCUGGAGUUGUUGUCUCUGUCAGUCUGUUGGCUGCUGCAUUGAUGAUAAUUGUGGUGAUAUGCAAGAGAAGGACAAAUGCUGGAGGAGAGCCAAGACGCCAAUCAACUCAAAGCAGGACCAGUGCCAUAGUCAUGCCGUCUGUUCAGCCACCAGACUCCUCAGCUAAUGUAAGAUAAUGAUAUAUUCUCAUGAUAUACACAAACCCCUCAGCUAAUGUAAGAUAAUGAUAUAUUCUCAUGAUAUACACAAACCCCUCAGCUAAUGUAAGAUAAUGAUUUAUUCUCAUGAUAUACACAAACCCCUCAGCUAAUGUAAGAUAAUGAGAUAUUCUCAUGAUAUACACAAA